ACAGAAGAUUUGUGUAGGAAUAGCUAGAGGUCUAGUAUUUCUCCAUGAAGAAUCAGCACUUAGGAUCGUCCAUAGAGACAUCAAAGCAACAAAUGUCCUGCUUGAUAAGGACCUGAAUGCCAAGAUAUCAGAUUUUGGACUAGCAAAGCUCUGUGAGGAGGAGAAUACUCACAUUAGCACCAGGAUUGCGGGAACAGUGGGAUAUAUGGCUCCAGAAUAUGCACUCUGGGGUUACCUAACAGAGAAAGCUGAUGUUUACAGCUUUGGGAUGCUUUUUUUCCAGCUUUUGACAGGUAAACUUCCCUUUGAGGAUGGGCAUCUUCAAGGAGACCAAAUGACCAAAAACAUAAGAGCUGGGGAGAGGCCAUUAUUCCCAUCCCUGUCACCAAAAUUUCUUGUGAACUUGACCAAAAAAUGCUGGCAUAAUGACCCAAAUUAUAGACCAAGUUUCUCAUCUAUUUGUAGGGUUCUGAGAUACAUCAAGAAGUUCCUUGCGAUGAAGCCCAGCGAUGGUCAGCCUGUUAUGCAGUCACCACCUGUAGAUUACUCUGAAUUGGAGACAUGGUUUUUAAAGAAGCAUUCAGAGGAGGUGAACUGUGGUCUAGCCUCUGUUUCACAAAUUCCAUUCCAAAUGUUUGUUUACAGGCUUAUGGAGAAAGAAAAGACUUCUUUGGGUAUUAGAUUUAAGCAUUCAGAAACAAGUGAAGGUACCUCAAAUGGCGAGGAUGAGAAUACUUCUGUAGCGGAGGAUCCAAUUGCACCAGCAAUUGAUGCAAGAUCAGUUGGCUCUGACACGAAAACAGUUUGUUUUGAUAUGAGAUCUAUCUGCACCGAGCAGGAUCCAGACAGGAAAAUACCAUCUGAUUUGAUGUCCAUUCGUUCUGAGCCUGUUGAGAAGAAAAUUGUGCUGCGAAAGAAAAUUACCAACGUCAAGGUCAGAAAAACUCCAGGUAAGCCAAAGGAACCAGCACCAACAAAAACAUCUCCAUGGAGUCCGCCAGGCCAUACUGCUAAGUUUAGCCGAGACAAACCAUUGUCUACGAGCUCUUUUAGUCCAAGCAAGCACAGAUCAAAUGGACAAGCCCUAGCUCUUGAGAAAUCCUAGCUUUUAGCCAUAAGUCACCUCACCUUGCUCAAGAGUUGAUAUGCCUAUAUCACCUUUUGUUUUCCGUGGAAUCAUUGUAGUUUGCUUGUGUUAGAAGAAUACAGUUUUCUCCAUUUCUUAAUGGUCAAAAUUUGUUUAGGACCGUCGUCCAGUUGUCUAUGAAAUAUUGAUGCUUCACAUAAUACAGGUUUCAAUAUUUUGCCUUAAAGUUUCCACGUUUAAACAGCAGAUGAAGGGCAGAUUUUGUCAAAGUAACAGCUUGAUCACAAUUGUGCAUGAUUUUCCUAAACGAAAAUAUCAUAUACAUUUUUUUUCCUCAAAAUUUACAAUAUCUGGCUUUCCUACUUACAAUAUCCAAUACUUGGGAUACAGCACUAAAUAUUUUCCCCGCUUUUCUGAGCAUAUAAAUGUGGAAUUGCUUCAAAGCUAUCUUCUGAACAAAUUGCCUGUCUAGAAUUGCCAAUCCUUCGCUGAAAACUUGAAAGGACUGCACACCAAUUCUACAAAUGGUAGGAGGAGCAAAUGCACGGUUGCCUUAUUAGCAGUCAGAUGAUUUGGAGCUGCUCUUUCAAGAUUUAUUUUUAUCCAGGAUUGCCUUCAUCCCAACGCCAAUGCUAAUAUUGAUCUUGUUCUUCUUUGUUUUAUAUUCACCAGCAGCAUCACUAAUAUUCUGGAGUCCUUGCCUGCAAAUCUCAUCAGUCAUUUCCUGCACCUCUAACUGAAGAUCUGGAAUCAGAAUUUGUGACUAGAUGAAAGGUUGUAAUUCAGCUCUUUGGAUCCCUACUAUCUCAUACGGACAAGUAUAAUAGAUGAUGCAUUGGUUCUCAGAGUUUCACCUUGCAAACUUCACAGUUUUCAGUAUAUAAUUGGCCUACAGGUUCUGCAUUUCCCCAGCUGGAAACGAAGCAAGAGAAAUCUGAUUUCCUAAUUGAUUUAGGAAGGCUCCCUUUCCUUCAAACCAUUUGCAACACUUUGAUACACCCAGUUGAAUUGGCAGCAACAACCAUGUCUGAUUUCCCUCUCCAGCAGACACUAGAAACAAACUGCCCAUUGUCAUCAUCUGUCUCUUUCCCGGAAAUAGGAUCAAUUGAACCAAACUUGUGGGAUGUGAUUGGCAUGGGUAGAGAUCUGUAGUAAGCAUAAACCUCAUUUGUUUCUGAACCACAUGCCAUAUAACCAUCAGCAACAGAUAAACCCACGAAAUUCUGAAUAAGUAAGAAAUACAAAAUUAAAACGAACCCAUGGAAGUGAAAAUAGGAAAAUGAAAACAUACAGAACAACAGCAAUAAGAAUUAGCAACUGUCUGUGAAAUAUAGCUAAUGUAAAGGUUAAAACCUAGCAUGCAAACGCCAACCUUCUCAUUAGUGUGUCCACUAAAGGUUAAACUGCAAGCAUUGCUGGACAGGCCAGUAGAACUAGCUUUAGUGAGAUCCCAAAGUUUUAAGGAGUUGUCAGUGGAUGCAGUAACCAGAGUUUCAGGGUCCAAGAAUUUUGCAUAGCUCACUGCUUUGUCAUGACCAGUCAAUACACACCAGGGUGUUCUUAAAUUCCGAAGAUCAUAGCAAUAGGUUCUGCAAUCUGCUGACCCAAAUGCCAACAAAUGAGUUGAAUGAGAAGAGAACUGAACACAGCAGACAUUUGCAAUGCUCCUGAUUGUGUCUAAACUAUUUUUCUCGUUAAUGCUCCAAAGCUUCACAGAACAAUCAUCACUUCCACUGGCUAAUUUUGUUGGAUAUACUUGAGAAAAGUCAACAGACCAAGCCCUCCUUUCAUGUUCAUUAUAUUGAAAAAUCCCUUGACCAGUGCUUGCAUCCCAUAACUUUACAACACCAUCAUAGUCAGUUGAAGCCACAUAAUUCUUGAUGUAGCUAUUCCAGGAAAUACAGCUAAGCCUUGAUUUGUUCGACAUUUCAAUAACUGGAUAGUGAAUAUCAACAGAAUCAUUUAAGAGUGCAUUAAACUCAAAUAUCCUUAUUUUCUUCGAUACUCCAGCCGUGGCAAAGUAGUCGACAUCCCGGUCAAAGCUCAAAGAGCAAAUUACAUUUGCAGAAUUGUUAAAAUCUCCAGUUCUUAGUAGCCCCCGUACUUCAAACUUACUAUAACGGGCAUACUUGCACAAACCAUCAAAAAAAGCUCCAAGACGAUCAAUUGGAUUCUUACUUUCUCCACCCUCCACUGCUAUAUGAUAGUUCUCACGAUUCCUUAAUAUUUCCCUAUCUUGGUGUGUGGUAGCAUCAGUUUCAAGGAGCUGGAUUUUGGUUCUCAUGGAAAAGUAGGCACUUUCAAGUUGGUUCAUGUUGCUUGCCAACCUCAUUUCAUUUGUACUGCAAAUAGGUGAUAAUUUAGUCCCCAAGGUAUUCUUUGAACACUUCCUCCUCUCAACCUCUUCAAUAUCUGCUUUUACACACCUAAUAUCAUCUGCUAACUUGGAGGCGUGCUUCUGCUUAUGCUCUUCUAAUUGAAUAAGGAAAUGCAAUAACAGCUCUGAUUCAGUAUCAUCUUGGUCAAUGGAAGAUGACAAUUCUUUUGCAGAUACCUCCUGCAAUCCUUUAAGCACUUCAGAUUGUAGGAUUUCCCUUGUUGUUGGUCGUGAUGAAGGUUCAGGAUGAAGUAACCAGAAGCAGAAUCCAGCUUCCUUUGGAUUUUCUGAUAAAAAAUGAGGAGGAAGAAUUCUUUGACGCAGGUCUGACAUUGCUGUUGCAUGUCCUCUUUCCGAAUCAAAAUGACCAAGCAACUCAAAUAGUAGAACACCCAGACUAUAUAUAUUUGAUGAUAUAGUGCAGAUUCCCUUACUCAGCUCCUCAGGGCUUGCAUACCACUUCUCUUCUGACC
rnacentral:misc_RNA from 1 species